rnacentral:rRNA from 1 species
UACGGAGGGGGCUAGCGUUGUUCGGAAUUACUGGGCGUAAAGGGCGCGUAGGCGGCCUUCUAAGUCGAACGUGAAAUCCCCGGGCUCAACCCGGGAACUGCGUCCGAUACUGGAAAGCUUGAAUCCGGGAGAGGGAUGCGGAAUUCCAGGUGUAGCGGUGAAAUGCGUAGAUAUCUGGAGGAACACCGGUGGCGAAGGCGGCAUCCUGGACCGGCAUUGACGCUGAGGCGCGAAAGCCAGGGGAGCAAAGCGGG